ACGCUCGACACCUACGGGAGGCAGCAGUCGGGAAUAUUGCGCAAUGGAGGGAACUCUGACGCAGUGACGCCGCGUAUAGGAAGAAGGUUUUCGGAUUGUAAACUAUUGUCGUUAGGGAAGAGAAAGGACAGUACCUAAGGAGGAAGCUCCGGCUAACUACGUGCCAACAGCCGCGGUAAUCUGAGCGGGCUGGCAAGGC
rnacentral:rRNA from 1 species